ensembl:lncRNA ROCK1P1 Rho associated coiled-coil containing protein kinase 1 pseudogene 1
GGGGUGGGGCGGUGGAGAGGCGGGAGAGCUCUGUCCCGGCUGCUCCCACAGCCCAGGCGGCUGCCCGCAAACCCGCGCGUGCGCAGUAGGCGGCCCACCUGCUGGUACCUGGGCCGGCUCUGGGAUCCCCGGGAUGCCCAGGAAAGAAUGGCAGUUCUCCGCUGUGUGGAGUCUCUCACCGGGCCUAGACCUAGAAGGCAGGAAUCCCAGGCCGGUCAGCCCGGUGGAGGGGGCGGGGCGGAGACACGCCCCUCCGUAGCCAGCCAGGUGUUCCCCGCGAAAGAGAGGCCACCGCCCUGCCCCGAACCACCCGACCCCGUCCCAACCCCGCGUCCUAAAGCUCCUCCAGCAGAGCCCGGUAUUCUUCCUCGCUGAGGGGUGCUUCCAGCGAGGCGGCCUCUUCCGAGGCCUCCAGCUCCCCCGGGGCCUCCGUUUCUGGGAAAGGGUUAGACACAGAUAAACUGUUUCACGUUAGACCUGUAACCCAAGGAGAUGUGUAUAGAGCUGAAACUGAAGAAAUUCCUAAAAUAUUCCAGAUACUAUAUGCAAAUGAAGGUGAAUGUAGAAAAGAUGUAGAGAUGGAACCAGUACAAGAAGCUGAAAAAACUAAUUUCCAAAAUCACAAAGGCCAUGAGUUUAUUCCUACACUCUACCACUUUCCUGCCAAUUGUGAUGCCUGUGCCAAACCUCUCUGGCAUGUUUUUAAGCCACCCCCUGCCCUAGAGUGUCAAAGACGCCAUGUUAAGUGCCACAGAGAUCACUUAGAUAAGAAAGAGGACUUAAUUUGUCCAUGUAAAGUAAGUUAUGAUGUAACAUCAGCAAGAGAUAUGCUGCUGUUAGCAUGUUCUCAGGAUGAACAAAAAAAAUGGGUAACUCAUUUAGUAAAGAAAAUCCCUAAGAAUCCACCAUCUGGUUUUGUUCGUGCUUCCCCUUGAACGCUUUCUACAAGAUCCACUGCAAAUCAGUCUUUCCGGAAAGUGGUCAAAAAUACAUCUGGAAAAACUAGUUAACCAUGUGACCGAGUGCCUUGUGGAAUCGUGUGGGAUGCUACCUGAUAAACCAGGCUUCUUUAACCAUGCAGAGCAGACAGGCUGUUUCUUUGACACAAAUAUCACAGGCUUCAGGGUUAAGAUUGCUGUUUUUCUGUCCUUGCUUUGGCACAACACACUGAGGGUUUUUUUUAUCGCGGGUUUGCCUACAGGUAGAUUAGAUUAAUUAUUACUAUGUAAUGCAAGUACAGUUGGGGGAAAGCUUAGGUAGAUAUAUUUUUUUUAAAAGGUGCUGCCUUUUUGGAUUUAUAAGAAAAUGGCUGUCAGUCGUGAUAGAACAGAGUUUUCCUCAUAUGAGUAAGAGGAAGGGACUUUCACUUUCAAGUGGAACGGCCAUCACUAUCAAGAUCAGCUCAUGGAAGGAGUAAAGAAAAUAUCUCAAAAUGAGACAAACUGAAGUUUUGUUUUUUUUUUAAUGACUUAAGUUUUUGUGCUCUUGCAAGACUAUACAAAACUAUUUUAAGAAAGCAGUGAUAUCACUUGAACUUCAGUGCCCUCACUGUAGAAUUUAAAAGCCUUACUGUUGAUUGCCCAUGGUGGACUUGAUGGAGAAAUUAAAUAUCUUUCAUUAUGCUUUACAAAAUACUGUAUAUGUUUCAGCAAGUUUGGGGAAUGGGAGAGGACGAAAAAAAGUUACAUUUAAUCUAUGCAUUUUUGCCAAGCCAUAUUGAGUUAUUUUACUACUAGAGACAUUAGGAAACUAACUGUACAAAAGAACCAAGUUUAAAAGCAUUUUGUGGGGUACAUCAUUUCUAUAAUUGUAUAAUGUAUUUCUUUGUGGUUUUAAAUGAUAAAGACAUUAAGUUAACAAACAUAUAAGAAAUGUAUGCACUGUUUGAAAUGUAAAUUAUUCUUAGAACACUUUCAAUGGGGGUUGCAUUGUCCUUUUAGUGCCUUAAUUUGAGAUAAUUAUUUUACUGCCAUGAGUAAGUAUAGAAAUUUCAAAAAAUGUAUUUUCAAAAAAUUAUGUGUGUCCGUGAGUUUUUCAUUGAUAAUUGGUUUAAUUUAAAAUAUUUAGAGGUUUGUUGGACUUUCAUAAAUUGAGUACAAUCUUUGCAUCAAACUACCUGCUACAAUAAUGACUUUAUAAAACUGCAAAAAAUGUAGAAGGUUGCACCAAUAUAAAAAGGAAAUAUGGCAAUACAUCCAUGAUGUUUUCCAGUUAACAUAGGAAUUACCAGAUAAAUACUGUUAAACUCUUGUCCGGUAACAAGAGUUGAUUCAUAUGGACAGUAUGAUUUAUUGUUUCUUUUUUUAACCAAAUACCUCCUCAGUAAUUUAUAAUGGCUUUGCAGUAAUGUCUAUCAGAUAAGAAGCACUGGAAAACCGAUCGUCUCUAGGAUGAUAUGCAUGUUUCAAGUGGUAUUGAAAGCCGCACUGAUGAAUAUGUAAUAAUAAACAUAUCUGUUAUUAAUAUAGUAAUGACUGUGCUCAUUUAAUGAGAAAUAAAAGUAAUUUAUGGAUGGAUAUCUUUAAUUUUGACUGCAAUGUGUUUUCUCAUGGCUGAAAUGAAUGGAAAACAUACUUCAAAUUAGUCUCUGAUUGUAUAUAAAUGUUUGUGAAAUUCCAUGGUUAGAUUAAAGUAUAUUUUUAAAAG